CCUAGAAAAGAAAACAAAUGAAGUUUGUUACUAAAAGACCUAGCAUAACAGAAAUGUAAAAGGGAGUCCUCCAAGGUGAAAUGAAGACAGUGAUCAAUAACUUGAAGUCAUACAAGAAAUAAAGGACGAAGAUAAAGGGCUCCACCAGAUGGCUGCUCCAACACAACACACAACAAGGUCUAACAUAUGAAGACCCCAUGGAAUUUGGAAAAUGAGAUAGGAUAAAGACCACCACGUGGGCUAUUGCCUAGAUUGACCAAGUCCUUAGAUAUCAAACUGAGAUCAAAGGAACCCAACUUCAUCACACAUCUCUUCUCCGGAUUUCAAUUUUUACUUGAUCAUGUCUUCCCAUAUUAGAUCUUUUCCACUCAGUUUUUUGUCUCCAGCAUUUUCUCAAGCUAUCAUCUUGUUUGGAGGUAUCAUGGAUUCAGGAUCCAUGCCUAAGGAACAAAAGAAAAUGACUAUACCUAAGGACUUGCCACGGAGAAGGCAAUGGCACCCCACUCCAGUACUCUUCCCUGGAAAAUCCCAUGGACGGAGGGGCCUGGUAGGCUGCAGUCCGUGGGGUCUCUAGGAGUCGGACAAGACUGAGCGACUUCACUUUCACUUUUCACUUUCAUGUGUUGGAGAAGGAAAUGGCAACCCACUCCAGUGUUCUUGCCUGGAGAAUCCCAGUGUCGGGGAGCCUGGUGGGCUGCCGUCUAUGGGGUCGCACAGAGUCGGAUAUGACUGAACCGACUUAGCAGCAGCAAG
ensembl:lncRNA